rnacentral:lncRNA from 1 species
CAGAAGCGAGGCGCCCAGAGAAGUGUUCACUUCUGGCUCAAAGUCCAGGUGUGAUACUGCAUGAAAACCCCCCGAUUUGGCCAUCCAGAGCAUGGUAAUCAAGAAACGCCUAGAUGUUUCCAAAAUGGAUUGGGUGUCCCUCCAAGUGUUCAUGAAAAGGUUGAAUUUCCUCUUGGUGGAGAGUUACAUAGGAGAUUAGCAGAUCAGACUGAAUUAGGGCCUCACUCUGUUACCCAGGCUGGAGUGCAGUGGUGCAAUCACAGCUCACUGCAGCCUCGACUUCCCAGGCUUAAGCACAUCUCCCACUUCAGUUUCCCAAGUAGCUAGGACCACAGGGACAUGGAUGAAGCUGGAAGCCAUCAUUCUCAGCAGACUAACACAGUAACAGAAAACCAAACACCGCAUGUUCUUACUCAUAAGUGGGAGUUGAACAAUGAGAACACAUGGACACAGGGAGGGGAACAUCACACACCAGGGCCUGUCACCGAGUCGGGGGCAAGGCGAGGGAG